UCCUUUCUCUGCAUCUGUUACACCGGACUGUAUAUGUAUAUAUAAGCUGUACAUGUAUAGCUAUAUUUACUUCCUGCUCGAAGAUCAGGAUGGCCGGCUCUCUCGUAUGCAGAAGCGAAGGAAGGUUGCGGUGACGAGUGGCGAAACUCCCUGGACGUAAUUACAAGGCGGAUGCAAUGAGAGAGUCGGAGGAGGGGAGAUUCGGAAGUGGACGAAGGACUGUAAAAAACGAAAAUAAAAAAUAAGCGGAAGCAGUGGAAGAAGCAAAACAUACGAGAACGACUAUCUUCGAGAACCAACCUGCGUUGCCUUCGG